UGAUGACCGCCAUAGACUAAGACAGGC
rnacentral:piRNA from 1 species